UGUCUGUUUUUUUCCCAGCUGAAGGAAGUUUUUUGAGGCAAAUUUCCAGUGGCCUGUCACCGACCCUCACUUGUUUCCAAGUAGGGUAAUAUUUCCCCAUGGCCAGACCUGUUUCCAUAGAAUAUCUGUAAUGAACGACACUGCUUUUAUGACUGUGACACUCAUUUACAACUACCACAUGAUGACAAGACAAAGAGAUAUGAAAACACACAAAA